rnacentral:rRNA from 1 species
GUCCACGCCGUAAACGAUGGAUGCUAGCCGUUGGCGAGCUUGCUCGUCAGUGGCGCAGCUAACGCAUUAAGCAUCCCGCCUGGGGAGUACGGUCGCAAGAUUAAAACUCAAAGGAAUUGACGGGGGCCCGCACAAGCGGUGGAGCAUGUGGUUCAAUUCGAAGCAACGCGAAGAACCUUACCAACCUUUGACAUGUCCCGUAUGGGCACCAGAGAUGGAGCCCUUCAGUUCGGCUGGCGGGAACACAGGUGCUGCAUGGCUGUCGU